rnacentral:rRNA from 1 species
UACCAGCACCCCGAGUGGUCGGGACGAUUAUUGGGCCUAAAGCAUCCGUAGCCGGUUCUACAAGUCUUCCGUUAAAUCCACCUGCUUAACAGAUGGGCUGCAGAGGAUACUAUAGAGCUAGGAGGCGGGAGAGGCAAGCGGUACUCAGUGGGUAGGGGUAAAAUCCGUUGAUCCAUUGAAGACCACCAGUGGCGAAGGCGGCUUGCCAGAACGCACUCGACGGUGAGGGAUGAAAGCUGGGGGAGCAAACCGG